CUGUGUUAGGCACAGUGGUGUCGUGAUGCUGGAAGAGUAACAAUAACUCAGCCAACCAGGGCCUGUCUGAAUACAAUCCUACAGCAGCAGGAGCUGUGGAGAUACAGAAGCCAAGGAAGACCAGAUGGUGAGGGAAGAUGAAUUUACUCCCAGGAAUGUUGUGAUUGAGAGUAAUAUCCUCCAAUAAUGAUGGAAGACAGAACAGUAAAAGCCCACCAGUUCAUUCUGCAUGUGUAUUUUAGCAGGUGUGUCGUUCUACAUGGUUAGUUUCUUUACCUCUUUGGAAAAAAAAUGGGUCAACUUGACACAUCUGGAUGAAAGAAAUCCAUCAGAUUGUAAAUCCUAAGGGUGUUAGCUGCUUAAAUUUGUGAAGACAUGUCUCCAAGUGAUCAGCUUCCUAAUUAUGAGUGAUACAUCUGCUCAGGCAAGUACCUAGACAAAGAAUAACUAGAUUAAUUCCUCAGGAGUCUUUUUAUUUCCUCCCACCUCACUUGUUAACUAUAUAGAGAGAUGGUAAUAGGCAUAGGGAAAAAUACAUCUGUUACCAGGAAAAAGUGUUUGGGAGUCUUAAACCCAUGGAAUUCUCUGCCUGUAAACUCUAAUUGAGUAUUUUUGUCUGGAGGGUUGGCCUUUAAUUUUUUUCCUGUGUUUUAAGGUGAUAUCCUUUUCAAAACGUGGUCCUGAUUUAUAGAUUCAGCAGUGUUUAAAUUGGCCAGAAAGAUAGUGUGAGAAAUGGAUGUACUAUAACUCAUUUGUUUUCUGUUGGUCUUCCUUUUUCAUUGCUGUCAUGGUACAUCACUGAGGCAAGUCUAGUUUCUUUGGCUAACCUCUGAAUAAAGGGCACUGUGGCUACUGAAGGGGAGCAUGCAGAAGUGAUGAAUGAAUGACAGAAAAAAUGUGAGUUGAGUCCAUUCAGGGUGGUGAUUUGUGGCCAUAUGAUAAAAUGUGCAGAUGUUAAUUGCUCUUCUAUUUCUCACGCAUGAUUACCUUGUUGCUGUACACCGCCUGUGUGUGCCUGCAGAAAGUACAUAAUAGAUGUUGCAGAUAGGAGGCACCAAGAGGGUGUAGUGUGAGAACACAGGCACUGGGAGUGGGCAAGUGACAGAUCAGAGCAAGAGGAGGUGGCAAGCCUGGGCAGAGGAAAAGAACAAUAUUCAGGCUAGGAGGGCAGGCA
rnacentral:lncRNA from 1 species